rnacentral:rRNA from 1 species
CACCGCGGUUAAACGGGAGGCCCAAGUUGACAGACAGCGGCGUAAAGCGUGGUUAAGAUACUUACUAAAUAGGGCCGAAUAGUCUCAAAACAGUCAAAUAUACUCGAGACCACGAAGCACAUCCACGAAGGUGGCCCUAACACCCCUGACCCCACGAAAGCCAUAGCA